rnacentral:rRNA from 1 species
UGCCAGCCGCCGCGGUAAUACGGAGGAUCCAGGCGUUAUCCGGAUUUAUUAGGUUUAAAGGGUACGUAGGCGGAAGAAUAAGUCAGUGGUGAAAUCCUGCAGCUCAACUGUAGAACUGCCAUUGAUACUGUUUUUCUUGAGUAUAGUUGAGGUGGGCGGAAUGUGUCAUGUAGCGGUGAAAUGCUUAGAUAUGACACAGAACACCGAUUGCGUAGGCAGCUCACUAAACUAUCACUGACGCUGAGGUACGAAAGCGUGGGGAGCGAACAGGAUUAGAUA